AAAUUUCUCCACAUUUGCAUAGGUUGGUUGACCUUUGGGUGAAGGUUUGUCCUUUCCGGCUUUCACCGCAGCAGAUGGUUUGACUGUGGUCACUGCAACUGCUUUAGACUUCUUGUCCGUAACUCCGUGAUUUUCAUUAGAAUCUGGGUGAGAAGAUACUUUCUCUGGAGUAUCAGGAACAAAGGCAGAACCAGAUGGAACAAGUCCAGCGAGAUCUGGGGGUUGAUCCUUUCCUACAGAAGGAUUAGCCUCCAAGUCAACAUAUG
rnacentral:misc_RNA from 1 species